rnacentral:lncRNA from 1 species
UUCAUAGUAGGCCAGUAGUAGCCCUGUCGCAGGACUUUGUAAGCCAAGGACUUGCCCCCCAAGUGAUCGUCACAGAUUCCUUCAUGUACUUCUCUGAGGGCAUAGUCUGCAUCGGUCAGCCCUAGGCACUUCAGCAAGGGAAGGGAGAAUGAUCUUUUGUAUAGUCGACCGUCGACCAUCACAUAUUGGGAAGCCACCCACCGG